AUUUUUCCCACUAAAAUUUGAUUCAUCAUGGCCUGCAUGAUAUAAUAUUCGACCGUGAAGGUAGGAUCAGAGGGAGGAAGCCGAUCUAACUGUAGAUGAACCAAUAUGGUUUCAAAUGAGACGGAACUUCCAACAUGUCUAUUAGCCAAAUCGAUAAGUGUAAGAAGUCGAAGUUUUUUGAAACGCAAUUCAUUCCAUUCAGAUGAGGCAUCUCUGAUAUCUCCUCUGCAGAAUAUCUCGAGUGUCCUUAGAACGGCGCUGUCUAUAGGCUGUGAUUUCUGGACCUCUUGGCACUCAAUCCAUAAUUCCUGAAAGCAAAAUACAUUCGGAUCGUCAAUCGCCUGUGAAAUCUUUUCUUCCAUGACAAGAGAUAUUGUAAAUGUGAU